rnacentral:rRNA from 1 species
GAUGAACGCUAGCUACAGGCUUAACACAUGCAAGUCGAGGGACCGGCGUACGGGUGAGUAACGCGUAUCCAACCUUCCCAUUACUGUGGGAUAACCUGCCGAAAGGCAAACUAAUACCGCAUAGUAAGGGAUGGGGAUGCGUUUGAUUAGCUUGUUGGCGGGGUAACGGCCCACCAAGGCGACGUUCAGUGGGGGUUCUGAGAGGAAGGUACCCUACAGUUGAACUGCGACACAGUCCAAACUCGUACGGAAGGCAGGAGUGAGGUGUAUUGUUCGAUGGACGGAAGUGUUACCCAGCCACGUGGCGGGCAGGAUGACGGCCUAUGGGAUGUAAACUGCUUUUGAAUGGGGAUAGGUACCAUAUGAAUAAGGACCGGCUAAGUCCGUGCCAGCAGCCGCGGUAAUAC